GUCCUUUCUCUCCCACACUGCCAGGAGUUUUGAAACUCUCCCUACCUGGAUCUUUCAGGGUGCCCAGGGUGUAGUCAAAAGGGCUGCUCUACUCUGAUCUUGACAAGGUAAGAGAACCCUGGAAUACAUGGAAGGAGGGGUUCCAGGCAGGAAGUGGGUCUGGAAGCACAGACCUGGGAAACAGGAUGGGGCAGGCCUGUGGAGUAAAGGGCUGGAGUUGCCCCUCCAGACCUAGGAAACCUAAAACCUCAGUCCAGCAGUUGAUAGAGCAGUUGAUUUGGGCAGCGAGCUUACUCUGGUCUGGGAGGUGAAAAGGGCUAUUAAAUACUAUGGUACCGGAAGGUUGGCACCACCCAGAGAAGGGCUGUUUGCUGCCUCUCCUCUAACCCUGUUGAAAGACCUCCCAUGAAAUCCAAGGGACUGAGGACAGCCUAAAAAUAGGGACUCAUUGGGGGCUGUGGGCACCCUGACUGUGGGUUUGAUGUAUAAUAUCCUCACUCAUGAGGGAGGAAAGUGGAGACAGAAGUCAGUAGAGACCUGCAGAGGUUUGGUAGCUGUUAGUGUGGGGUCCCCCACCCUAAGUCUCCUAAGUCAGGCAUGCAUGUUUCCUCUUACUAGGCCUCUACUCCACUUUACCCAGCCCUCCCUUGUGCUUGAACCUCAAUAAAAGCUCACUCGGCUGGGAUUGCUUGCGUUUUGUGAUCUCUAUCUCAAACCCAGGGUCAGUCGACACACUGCUUCCGGUUUUGAACCCCCAGAACUGUCUCUAGCUCUCAGAACAAAGCAGGGACUCAAGCAGGAACCAUGAUAAAGCUUUCUGGUAAUAUCCCAUUAACUUAAUCUGAGUCCAGAAGGCACCACCUAAGAUUUCCAGGUUCUGUGUCCCAGAGCAAAGAACUGAACUAUUAAUAAAGAAAGAAAUAUUGUAUCUACAGCUCUUGAGCUAAAAAAAAAAUCCAACUCAUGGAUAAUGAUAGAAGUAGAGACCAUUUACUAAGAAAGACAAAGACUCUCUUUCAUACAAACACCUGCCUUAUUGAAAGAGGAAGCAAAAUAGUGUCUUUAUUAGUUCCUAAGUCUACCAAUUAUAGAGUAGCAUUAAAGAUAAAUGAGGAAGCAAGAUGAGGAGAAAAAUAAGGUAGCGUAACUGGGAAAAGAGAUACACACAUGCAUAAACACACACACACACACACACACACACACACAGAAUUAUCAUGCAAGUGGAAAGAAAAUUGUAUCCUAAUAAAUUUCAUAACAAAAACAGCUGGGGUGUGUAAAGUUGGUAGGCUGUUUGGCUAGCAUGACGUAAGCCCUGGGUUCAGUCUCCCACAGCACAUAAACUGGCUGUGGUGAUGCAUGCCUGUAAUCCCAGCACUUGACAGAGCGAAGAUCAGAAGUUCAAGGUUGGAUACAGAGUGAGACCGAAGACAACUUAAGAUACAUGAGACCCUGUCUCAGAAUAGAUGGAUAUAGAUAGAUGAUAGAUGGGUAGAUAGAUAGAUAGAUAGAUAGAUAGAUAGAUAGAUAGAUAGAUAGAUAGAGG
rnacentral:lncRNA from 1 species